rnacentral:rRNA from 1 species
UACGUAGGGGGCUAGCGUUGUCCGGAAUCAUUGGGCGUAAAGAGCGUGUAGGCGGUUAGGUAGGUCCGUUGUGAAAACUCGAGGCUCAACCUCGAGACGCCGAUGGAAACCAUCGAACUAGAGUCCGGAAGAGGAGAGUGGAAUUCCUGGUGUAGCGGUGAAAUGCGCAGAUAUCAGGAAGAACACCCGUGGCUAAGGCGGCUCUCUAGUACGGUACUGACGCUGAGACGCGAAAGCGUGGGGAGCGAACAGG